GGGAAAGUGGCUCAGUGGUAGAGUGCUUGCCUUGCAUGCAUGAGGCCCUGGGUUCGAUUCCUCAGUACCG
rnacentral:tRNA from 1 species